GACGAACUGUGCAAACGUUAUUCGGAAUCACUGGGCUUAAAGGGUGCGUAGGCGGUCUUUUAAGUAGGGUGUGAAAGCCUCUGGCUCAACCAGAGAACUGCGCCCUAAACUAGAAGGCUUGAGUGAGGUAGGGGUGUGUGGAACUUCCAGUGGAGCGGUGAAAUGUGUUGAUAUUGGAAGGAACGCCGGUGGCGAAAGCGACACACUGGACCUUGUCUGACGCUGAGGCACGAAAGCCAGGGGAGCAAACGGG
rnacentral:rRNA from 2 species